rnacentral:lncRNA from 1 species
GUGGAGCACAUACCAUGAUGCCUAGCAUGCAGUAAUCACACAGUUACUGUCCAAGAAGCAGAAUGCUGUGUCAAAUGAACUAAGAGUUUUUGAUACUACUGCAAAAUUGUACCCAGAAAGAUGGUAUCAGGGAGACAUUAUCAAGAUGGCUGACUCAAGGUACCCAGCACUUAACUCCUCCAUGAGAAAAAGAUGAAAACAACAAAAAGAUAACCACAAGCUGAAUACAAUGUCUAAGAGAGAACAAUGGAAUUCAACAAAGAAGCAACAAAGACCCUCAGAGGCAGAAAAACUUGAAAUGGCAACAUAGAGAGGUAAGUGAAGCAGCCAAAUGGGAUCAGCUCAGAGCCAAGAGGGACUUCCCAUCACAAGGCAAAGGUUAAGUGGGAGAUUCCCCAGUAGUCCACAUUCCCAGAACAUAUAUCCUUAAUCCUGACUACAGGAGAGCCCCUCAUCCCUCACAGGCCCCGAGUCCACUACAGGGAGCUGUGUAGAGUCCAUGCAACUGCAUUGUCCCUGAGAGAGAAUCCACACUGGAUGCUCCACAGCCCCCAGGAACCAGGCUGAUUUAGCACGACACCAUGUUGAGAACAGAACUACUGCCAGACUAAACCUUUCCAUGGGACCCAACAGCUCCUACAUCUACAUAUUCCUGGAGUCCCAAAAACACCCCCACAUAUCCAUCAAGAGGGCUGUAGCACUGUGACACCACCUGGACCCAGGGGUGCAGCUGCAUCCCCAGCACCUGGGCCCACACAGUAGACUACAUCCUGGAAAUGUGGUUCACUACAUCAGGGAGGCUCCCUCUGGACAUAGAGGAAUGAAGUACAUAGUCUCUAGAACCUGAAAACUAUUAGCUUAGAGCCACUACUGCCAAGAGCAACUCUGCCCAACCCCAAUGGUAGGGCUGCCACAUGACCACUACCCAGAGGACUGAGGACCAGUCGACCCAAGGUCUGCCAUUGCCAUCACUGGUGGCUCCACCCCCUCCAAUGGCAGGAGCACCACAUACCCAAGCACAGUCCUCAGAGACCUGAGGACUUCUCUGUCCAGUGUUCUCAUCUCCAGCAAAACCACUCCACAGCCUCAACAGACAAUUGAAGUAUAAGCCCCUGCAGAACUCACAGACACUGCUGACAGUGAUUACAGGUGAAGAAAUCACAGGGAGACUACACUACUGCACCCACGCAGAACCAAAGUCAAAGCACCCUACACAACUGACACUGUAAAUACAUCUACAGGAAACUCUUUCCUUUUGAAACCUACUACAUACAAUUGAAAGAAAUGACUGUUACACCAGAUAUGCAGAUAUCAAC